GGAUUAUGGCUCAGCGGUAGAGUGCUCGCCUAGCACGUGCAAGGCCCUGGGUUUGAUCCUCAGCACCA
rnacentral:tRNA from 1 species